rfam:Pseudomonas sp. HTK17 Contig_5, whole genome shotgun sequence.
GGGUCUAGCCGCAUGGAUGCGGCGAGAGGCCUAACGGGCCAUGGACGGCCCGUGUAGGCCGACCCC